rnacentral:rRNA from 1 species
UACAGAGGUGGCAAGCGUUGUUCGGAAUUACUGGGCGUAAAGGGCGCGUAGGCGGCCUUCUAAGUCAGACGUGAAAUCCCCCGGCUUAACCUGGGAACUGCGUCUGAUACUGGAAGGCUAGAGUGCGGGAGAGGGAUGCGGAAUUCCAGGUGUAGCGGUGAAAUGCGUAGAUAUCUGGAGGAACACCGGUGGCGAAGGCGGCAUCCUGGACCGACACUGACGCGGAGGAGCGAAAGCUAGGGUAGCAAACGGG